GGGAAACGGGGAGGGGCCUGGGGCUGUGAGCCACCCCAAGCCCUAGGAAACAAGGGCUCA
rfam:Dipodomys ordii contig_49603, whole genome shotgun sequence.